GAAAAAAUGCGUAGAAGAUAGAUAAGGGAAUUAAAGGGGAAAAAAUAAUAAAGAUAGGAAUAAGAGAUGGUAAAGCAAGAGAUAAUAGGAUGAAAGAGAGAUAAUAAAGUAAAAAUGGGGAAUAAUGGGUAAAUAUGAUAGAUAAAAUUAGAUAAACAGAGAGAGAGAGAGAGAGAGAGAGAGAGAGAGAGAGAGAGAGAGAGAGAGAGAGAGAGAGAGAGAGAGAGAGAGAGAGAGAGAGAGAGAGAGAGAGAGAGAGAGAGAGAGA